rnacentral:rRNA from 1 species
GAUGAACGCUGGCGGCGUGCCUAAUACAUGCAAGUCGAGCGAACGGACGAGAAGCUUGCUUUUCUGAUGUUAGCGGCGGACGGGUGAGUAACACGUGGAUAACCUACCUAUAAGACUGGGAUAACUUCGGGAAACCGGAGCUAAUACCGGAUAAUAUUUUGAACCGCAUGGUUCAAAAGUGAAAGACGGUCUUGCUGUCACUUAUAGAUGGAUCCGCGCUGCAUUAGCUAGUUGGUAAGGUAACGGCUUACCAAGGCAACGAUGCAUAGCCGACCUGAGAGGGUGAUCGGCCACACGGGAACUGAGACACGGUCCAGACUCCUACGGGAGGCAGCAGUAGGGAAUCUUCCGCAGAGGGCGAAAGCCUGACGGAGCAACGCCGCGUGAGUGAUGAAGGUCUUCGGAUCGUAAAACUCUGUUAUUAGGGAAGAACAUAUGUGUAAGUAACUGUGCACAUCUUGACGGUACCUAAUCAGAAAGCCACGGCUAACUACGUG